AACCAAUGACUACCAGCAGUUCGUCCCAACCAGCAAGAUCAUCAGCCCCACAAUCUUCUUCAUCGUCGUCGUCAUCAUCAACUUCUAACAACCAGCCAAGACAACGUAACUCUGGUAUAAAUUUCUUUCUUAAUAGUGAACUCUGAAUGAAUAAAAAGAGCCCCUUUUUCUUUGGUUGAGAAAGGUAACAAAAAAGCCCCUUUGCUUUGUAGACAUCUUCACUUCAAAUGUAAAUGUGUAUUUCAUCCAAAUGAUAUUUAUUUCAGGGUCAGCUAGUAGAACUUCUGGAACAUCCACAACUCCAACUUCAUGUGCAACAUCGCUGCGAUGGAAUCGACAAACUCUACAAUUUUCAGUGAAUGCUUGGGUACCAUAUAUUCAUCUUUUUAUCUUUUGCACCAUGAUUUUCUGUGCGAGAAAGUUUUGAUUGGCUGCUUCUAUGUAGUAACUGCUCUAUGUGAUAC
rnacentral:lncRNA from 1 species